rnacentral:misc_RNA from 1 species
GAUGAAAGAACGUAGCGAAAUGCGAUAAGUAAUGUGAAUUGCAGAAUUCAGUGAAUCAUCGAAUCUUUGAACGCACCUUGCGCUCCUUGGUAUUCCGAGGAGCAUGCCUGUUUGAGUGUCAUGAAAUUCUCAACCUUUCUGGCUUUUGCUAGUCAGGCUUGGAUUAUGGGAGCUGCUGGCUUUUGAAGUCGGCUCUUCUAAAAUGUAUUAGCAAGAUCAUUGCUGCUCAUCAUUGGUAUGAUAAUUAUCUAUAUCAUUGAGAGUCAGUUUCCUUUAUUGGAAGAUUUUGCUCCUAACGGUCUUUAGCAAGACAACAUUUGACGAUUUUGACCUCAAAUCAGGUAGGACUACCCGCUGAACUUAAGCAUAUCAAUAAGCGGAGGA